UCGCUAACCCAAUGGUCUCCUUCUAAUGCUCUUUUGUGUCUGUUUUCCAGUGUGACAUCUGGUCGUUGGGGAUAACCGCCAUUGAAAUGGCCGAGGGAGAACCACCUUAUGCUGAGGAAGAACGAGUCAAGGACCUGAUCCUUAACAACAAUUCACCUCAGCUUCGAUCAAACACCUGGUCACCGUGUUUUGUAUCCUUCUUGGAUUCCUGUCUCAAGAAGGAUCCUACAGAGAGAUGGAGUGCUAAAGAACUCCUUCAGCACCCCUUCAUCACUGG